GACGAACGCUGGCGGCGUGCCUAAUACAUGCAAGUAGAACGCUGAAGAGAGGAGCUUGCUCUUCUUGGAUGAGUUGCGAACGGGUGAGUAACGCGUAGGUAACCUGCCUUGUAGCGGGGGAUAACUAUUGGAAACGAUAGCUAAUACCGCAUAACAAUGGAUGACACAUGUCAUUUAUUUGAAAGGGGCAAUUGUUCCACUACAUGAUGGACCUGCGUUGUAUUAGCUAGUAGGUGAGGUAAUGGCUCACCUAGGCGACGAUACAUAGCCGACCUGAGAGGGUGAUCGGCCACACUGGGACUGAGACACGGCCCAGACUCCUACGGGAGGCAGCAGUAGGGAAUCUUCGGCAAUGGGGGCAACCCUGACCGAGCAACGCCGCGUGAGUGAAGAAGGUUUUCGGAUCGUAAAGCUCUGUUGUAAGUCAAGAACGGGUGUGAGAGUGGAAAGUUCACACUGUGACGGUAGCUUACCAGAAAGGGACGGCUAACUACGUG
rnacentral:rRNA from 1 species